rnacentral:rRNA from 1 species
UACAGAGGUCUCAAGCGUUGUUCGGAUUCAUUGGGCGUAAAGGGUGCGUAGGCGGCGCGGUAAGUCGGGUGUGAAAUCUCGGAGCUUAACUCCGAAACUGCAUUCGAUACUGCCGUGCUUGAGGACUGGAGAGGAGACUGGAAUUUACGGUGUAGCGGUGAAAUGUGUUGAUAUUGGAAGGAACGCCGGUGGCGAAAGCGACACACUGGACCUUGUCUGACGCUGAGGCACGAAAGCCAGGGGAGCAAACGGG